rnacentral:rRNA from 1 species
ACUCCUACGGGAGGCAGCAGUAGGAAUCUUCCACAAUGGACGAAAGUCUGAUGGAGCAACGCCGCGUGAGUGAAGAAGGUUCUCGGAUCGUAAACUCUGUUGUGAGGGAAGAACAAGUACCGGAGUAACUGCCGGUACCUUGACGGUACCUCAUUAGAAAGCCACGGCUAACUACGUGCCAGCAGCCGCGGUAAUACGUAGGUGGCAAGCGUUGUCCGGAAUCAUUGGGCGUAAAGCGCGCGCAGGCGGUCCUCAAGUCAUGNUGUGAAGAACCCCGGCUCAACCGUGGAGGUCAUUGGAAACAUGGGUGGCUUGAGUGCAGAAGAGGAAAGCGGAAUUCCAAGUGUAGCGGUGAAAUGCGUAGAGAUUUGGAGGAACACCAGUGGCGAAGGC